AAAAAGACAAACCCUGGGUUUCCGUGUCCAACGUUUGACUGUCCGUUUUAUAUGAAAUUUUUUUAUAAUCAGUAUUUUUAUUGCUGUUAUAUGAUAAAACAUGAUUAAUACUUUAUGCGUGACUUAUCUUUUUAAUUUUUUUUCAUAAUUUUUUCAAAUAAGAUGGACGGUCAAACGUUGGACACGGAAACCCAGGGUUUGUCUUUUU
rnacentral:pre_miRNA from 1 species